UACAGAGGGUGCAAACGUUGUUCGGAAUUACUGGGCGUAAAGCGCGUGUAGGCGGCCUCGCAAGUCGGGUGUGAAAGCCCUGGGCUCAACCCAGGAAGUGCACUCGAAACUGCAAGGCUUGAGUUCCGGAGAGGGAAGCGGAAUUCUCGGUGUAGAGGUGAAAUUCGUAGAUAUCGAGAGGAACACCGGUGGCGAAGGCGGCUUUCUGGACGGCGACUGACGCUGAGACGCGAAAGCGUGGGGAGCAAACAGG
rnacentral:rRNA from 1 species